rnacentral:rRNA from 2 species
UACGAAGGGUGCGAGCGUUAUUCGGAAUCAUUGGGCGUAAAGGGUGCGUAGACGGUAUAUUAAGUCUGUUGUAAAAUCCUCCAGCCUAACUGGAGACCUGCAGUGGAAACUAAUAUGCUAGAGGGUGGAAGAGAGAAGUGGAAUUCUCGGAGUAGCGGUAAAAUGCGUAGAUCUCGAGAGGAACACCAAUGGCGAAGGCAGCUUCUUGGUCCAUACCUGACGUUGAGGUACGAAAGCGUGGGGAGCAAACAGG